rnacentral:tRNA from 5 species
GGGUCCGUGGUCUAGUUGGUUAUGACGUCGCCUUGACAUGGCGGAGAUCCCCGGUUCGAAUCCGGGCGGACCCACCA